UGUAAAUGAGUGUUAGCCUUCUUGGUCUUCCCUCCAUUCUGCUUCAGUGAAGUCUGUUGUGUCUGAUGGUGUUGAUGCCCUGCCCAUAUCCGUUUGGCCCAUAGGACGUCAUCUGAAGACAGUUUCUCUACAUAUGGAACGCUUCUUCUGCAAGAGGGUGUACUCUGAACAGAGGCACAGGACCAACUUUGGAAAACCUGCUUGUGUUAAGGAAGGUGUUUGUGGGGACCCAAAAUAAUCACAAGAGUCCUUGAAAGUGGAAGAGGAAGGUACAAAUGGGGAGUUCAGAGGAAGAUGUGACUGUAAAAGACAGACACAGAGGAAGGACUCAAAACUCCACCCCUGCCAUGUUGGCUUUGAAGAUGGGCAAAGAGGCUGCCUCUGGAAGCUGGAAUGGGCAAAGAAACAGAUUCUCCUCAGGCAAUGAAUGGCCCCCUAGAACCUCCAGAGGCACAACAACCCUGCCCAUAUCUUGAUGUUAGCCCCAUGAGGCCAAUGUUGGACCUCCAACUUAACAGAAAUGUCAGAAAAGAAAUCUGUGUUUUAA